rnacentral:rRNA from 1 species
GAUGAACGCUGGCGGCGUGCCUAAUACAUGCAAGUCGAACGAAACUUCUUUAUCACCGAGUGCUUGCACUCACCGAUAAAGAGUUGAGUGGCGAACGGGUGAGUAACUCGUGGGCAACCUGCCCAAACGAGGGGGAUAACACUUGGAAACAGGUGCUACUACCGCAUUACCAUAGUUACCGCAUGGUAACUAUGUAAACGGUGGCUAUACUACCGCCUUUGUAUGGGCUCGAGGCGCAUUAGCUAGUUGGUCGGGUAACGGGUUACUAGGGCAGUGAUGCGUAGCCGAAUUGAGGGGUGGAUCGGCCACAUUGGGAGGGAGACAAGGCCCAAACGCCUACGGGAGGCAGCAGUAGGGAAUCUUCCACAAUGGGCGAAAGCCUGAUGGAGCAACGCCGCGUGGGGGAAGAAGGUGUUCGGAUCGUAAAGCCCUGUUGUUGGAGAAGAAAGGGCGUGGGAGUAACUGUGCACGGUUCGACGGUAGCUAAACAAAAAGCCACGGCUAACUACGUG